rnacentral:rRNA from 1 species
AUGAACGCUGGCGGCGUGCCUAAUACAUGCAAGUCGAGCGAACAGACGAGGAGCUUGCUCCUCUGACGUUAGCGGCGGACGGGUGAGUAACACGUGGAUAACCUACCUAUAAGACUGGGAUAACUUCGGGAAACCGGAGCUAAUACCGGAUAAUAUAUUGAACCGCAUGGUUCAAUAGUGAAAGACGGUUUUGCUGUCACUUAUAGAUGGAUCCGCGCCGCAUUAGCUAGUUGGUAAGGUAACGGCUUACCAAGGCGACGAUGCGUAGCCGACCUGAGAGGGUGAUCGGCCACACUGGAACUGAGACACGGUCCAGACUCCUACGGGAGGCAGCAGUAGGGAAUCUUACGCAAUGGGCGAAAGCCUGACGGAGCAACGCCGCGUGAGUGAUGAAGGUCUUCGGAUCGUAAAACUCUGUUAUUAGGGAAGAACAAAUGUGUAAGUAACUAUGCACGUCUUGACGGUACCUAAUCAGAAAGCCACGGCUAACUACGUG